GCGUGCAUUCAAAUGUCUGUUAUUGUCCCCUGGCGCCCGACGAGGCAUCUCCAGAGCCGAAAGCGCCAUUUCCACGUCUGGAGGAGAGCUGACAGGGAGAACGCUCCCGGAGGAGCUCAGCGAAAGGAGAAAGAGACAAACAGGAGUCAGAGGAUGCAGCGGCGGUGGCACCCAGGCGUCUGCGAGGUAGGAAAGAGAGUGAGCUUGUGUCCAACCAGAGAGGGAGAGAGAGCAGGGGAGUGACAGAGGAGGAGGAGGAGGAGGAGGAGAUAGAGGCAGCAGCAGCAGCAGCGAUGUGCUGGCUUAACAGAGGGGGGAACCUAGCCUACUACUGCUGAGUAAUAUCUCAGUGUUGCACAUUUGGAGGUAACGUUUGCAGUGAUUGGUCCAGGAUUUGGUUUUAAGGGUUGGUGGGAAACACUUAAAAAAAAAAAAAAAACUGGAGCACAGAGAGGAUGGAGAGGAGUGAAGCAACAGCAGGGUGAAAAAAUAAAUAAAUAAAAAAGCAAUUCAACACCAAUUCCGAGGUUAAAAUAUAUAAAAAUGCCAACUCACUGAAGGCCAAAGGGAAACUUGGAUCCUGAAGAGGUGCAAAAAACAUCAUAACACACAGACACAUGUACUCCCACCCCCACCAUCCUCAUACAGUACAUGUAUAUAUUUUAAAUGUUCUAUUAAUAU